GGCAGAGCCAACCCAGAGGGGCUCAGGUGCAUGCAAUACAGCUGAGUGACCAGGAGGGGUGGAGCCAGGAUCCACCCCUUCUCAGACUUCAUUUAUGGGUUGGCAGUGGGGGUGAGGGUGUCUUGCUGGAGAUUCCUGUGCCUUCCAAAGAGUGAUUCUCAGGAUGGGCAGCUUUCUGAGAGAGAGAGAGAGAGAGAUGGCUACUAAGAAGGCUUUUGCUUUGGCCAGACUUUGGCAGCUCUGGAUGCUGCAGAAAAGGAUGCUGAGCAGCAGGAGUGGGAGGCAGCUGUGUGCUGCUGGGCACAGACAUGGGAGGCUGAUCUGAUCUGAGCAUCAGUCACUGAAAAGAGUAUUUUAAUGGUCUUUCAAACAGAAGAGAAAAAGAGAGAGUCCACCUUGAACAGAUAUCAAAUGGAUGCCAGCCUGGUUUAGUCUAAUAAUGAGCAUCACUGAGAUUAAGGUUGAACUGUUUAUGCUGUUCCUUCUGGAGAAGGUGCUCCAGGAUAAGGACUGUGAUGUUCCCUUGACCUGGAGAAUUACAGAGGAAUUUCUCCGUGGCCCAGAAGGCACUGACCUCAUUCCUCUGCCCUCCCACGCCCGGCAGUUUACAGGUUCAUUGGGAAAGAUUAAGGUAAUGAACUGUUCCCUCUCAUUUCCUCAUCCAUAGGCAGAAAUAAGCAGGAAUCCUCAGGCCAGAGAUAAGACACUGUGUUCAUCAUAGCAUGUUCCCAAGGGCUGGAGGUGAAACUAUGUGCUGGUGGGCAGCAAGAGGAAGACACUGCCCAGGUGAGAGGGACCAGUUCUCCACCUUUGCUAUCUAUUGCUAUUCUCUUGGUGUCUACCCAGAGUUAUCCACAGGAAAGGUGUGGCAUGGUUGGUAAGACAUCUCCAUUCUCCAAGGGCCUUUGGUACAUCACCAACUGCAUAUAACUGAAUCCUCCCAUGAGUUAAGCACUGAACAGUUAAAUGAAGUCAUAUCCGAGUUCAAAUUCAAGGUGGUCGAAAGGACUGAGUUAUUCCAGGCUGUCUGGGAGAUUACUUUCAAAUCUCCUCCAGUGAUUUAGGAAAACAAAAAGUGCUCCUUUGGGAAAUGCCUCAGGAAUAUGGCUGUCCACUGGGAGGAAGCACAGACACGCUUACUGUGUUCUCAGGGAUGCUGGCAGAGCCCUGGGCAGCAUGGGAAGAGACACUGUAAUCAAGCAUGGAUUAGGGCUAUCAACAUGGGGUGCUGCUCUUCAGCUGGGUGCUCGCUGUGGCUCUGGAGGUGGGCACAGCUGCUAUGUUGGGCUGUGGUGCAGAGCUGGUGUGCUGGCACCAGUCUGCUGAGCUGGAGGGGCCAUCCAGGUCCCAGCAGGGAUGCUGGGGUGCCCUGUGGUGGCUGCUGUCCCCAGGCAGUGUCCUGCAGCACCCUGGCUAGCUGGAGACAGGGUGACGGGAUGGGUGCCUCUGGUUUGGCAGGUGACCACAAGGAAGCAUUGUACUACUGAGCUCAUUUCCACUGGGACCAAAGGGUUCAUUAGGAGUAAAAAUAACCCUGGAAAAACAGCCAAAACCCUCUCAGGGAGUGCCUCAGUUGUUGGGGCCAACUUUGGCCAGCCAAGGAUCUGCCCUUUUUGCCCUCCCUGUGCAGCCCUUGCUGCUUCUGCAGCCACCAGUGUAAUGAUACUACCAGGACCAGAGGGACCACCCUUGGCACAUUGGAUGGUUCAUAUUGCCCUGCUUAAGCCUGCUUCUUAAAGAACAGCCUUUGCCAUUUCUAAAUCACAGAUGUUGUGUCAAUCUUCUGCAAAAGAUGGCAUUUUACAUAGAAGGACAGGACAGGGGCUUCUGAACCAAAUGCUCUGCCUUAGUGCUGUUCCUCCUGAGCUCCCUCGGACGUUUCUUGCAGUCUUGCUGUUUGAAUAAGGAACUCUUCCAGCUCAUUUGCAAAUAUGCCUUGUGCAGCAAAUAGAGCUGUAGGAUCAGCUGAUUUUUCAGUUUCAUUGGUGAACAAACAAAAAUCAGAGGAAAACAAAUUAGCUCAGACCAAAGAGAGCAUUUUUCCCAAAGUUGCUUUGCAGAACAGCAACAGCAAAGAAGAUGAGCCAGACCCAAAACAAGGAGACUUAUUGAGCUCAUUGGGAGAGCAUUCAUUCUUCUUUUUCACUGUUUUUCUCAAAAAAAGAAAAUAAUGUCAGGUUUCAGAAUAACAAAGUGGUGGUUCUGAAAGAUGAGGCAGAAAGGCUUCUUGCAAAUAUGUCAGAGCAAAGUAACUGCAGCACCUUUAGGAGUGAGCGGGAGGGACAUCUGGAGGGGGAAACGUAUCCCUAAGCUCAGUUCACACUGUGUGGAUGAUUUCCUUCUCCCGUGAGCUGCAUUCUUCCCAAAAUCUGUUACCCACUGAGGGCAAACGCCCGGCUUCCCUGUUAAUCUCCUUUGCAGCACUGCCUUAGAGUGAGGGAUAAACCUGUACAAAGGAGAAAGACGUGGGGAUCUAGGGACAAAAAGUGCAGGACAAAGGACAGAAGAAUGCCCGGCAGCAAAUGAAUUUCCUUCUAAGCCAGAUACUGCUGAAUUUUAAGCCAUUGUGAAUGUACGUGGCUCAGGGUUCAGCAGUCAGUGAUAAAUGUGAGGGUUAUUUCUCACUCCGUUUCUGAGUUUCUGAUAAGAAACGUUUGCAUGCUUCCCCUGGAGGAAUUAAACUGUAAGCAACCCAAAUCUGGCAGGGCUUAGUUCCGCUCAGUCGUGCACAGGGAGGAAUGAAGCAAUUGAGCUCAGUCUGCAUCCAGCGAUGUGUUCGGCACUGCAAAAUUGAUGAGGGGCUACGUGUGUUACACGUGUUUCCUAACAUGAGCCCAUCUCCUGUGGGUGAACCACGGGCUGACUGUACAUUGCUGCUUCUGCUGGCUCACAUCAAAUUAAAUAUUCACUGAAGCACCAGCUUUGCAGAGAAAAGGCAGAGUUCUUCACGAGGAGAUAAUAUUUGGAAGCAGAAGUGUCUACUGGACUCCAGGAAGCUGAUACAGGGGCUGCAUGGGAGCAGCUGCCUAAAAAUGGUGUUGAAGUUGAGGGUUUUCUGCUCCGUGGUGCCACUGUAGGAAUAGAGUGUGUCGCCUUCAAGUCCUUGACCAGCAAACAGUCCCUUCCCCGCUGUACUGUUGGGUUUUUGGUGAUUUUCAUGGAAAGGAGCUCCCAAGGAAGGGAUGGUGACCCACCUUGAGGUGGUCCGGGGCAGAUGGAGGAACCAGGCAUGUAUUUAUGAGAAACAGAGUCAGAAAGACCCACUCAAAGUCACUGUUGUCCAUCUGGGUGUGGAAGGAUCACAUGGGUCCUUCUUUGCCAUCAUUCCUGUACUAACAAUGAUGAGGAAAAGGUCCCCUUUGGGAAGGGGACGAUGCCAGAAACCCUGAGCUGCGGUGUCAUCACAGUCAGGUAUGAUGUAGGGCUGUAACAAACUCAGUGCCAGGGCUCAGGCAGGUCUCACAAGCCUCCAUAUUACACAAUGGGAGAGAAGCUUUAAUUAAUUAAUUAUUCUCGGGGCAAUUGACAUUAGCAAAAGCAGAUCAAAGCAGAAGCGGCAGCAUUGCACCUCCUUUGCAACACUGAGAAGCGUUGCAGAGCUGAGAAGCAAAUGGAAGCUGUGUGAAAAGAGAGAGCAAGUUUCCCCAUCUCUGAGAAGCUGAUGGAAAUCACUGCAAAAGCAAAUGGCUCCGGGUUAUGGCAGCAGCUUCCUUGCAACAACUGUACCACAGCCUGUAGUUCCUUUGGAACACUCUUUAUUAGAACAGCAAUUGGCUGUCACAGUGGAAAAUAUUGCACUGAGUGCAUGGAACUUCAGUGUGCAAUGAGAAGUGUGUGCACUCGGUGAGAUACUUUCCACUGCAAAAAGGGUAUUUUUUUGCUAAAUUGAGUAUUGCCACAAAGGGAAAGGUGCAUCCUUACGUGUAGGAGGCAUUUACAGAAAUGCUGGGGGAAAAGCUAUUCUCAUUAAUAUUUUUCGGUUUGAGGAAUGAAAUGACAACGUGUUCCACAGUAAAAGUCAGCAAUUCAUCUUCUUUUCUUUUCUUUCAUCAGCAUUUUAUGCAUGAGGGGAUCCCACUUUGUGCCUGACUCCGCCAAAGUCAUGCACGUCUGCACACCCAGGCAGAUGAGCACAGCAGUGCUCUUCCAGCACGGUCCCCAGCCCUCACAGCAGCACUCUCCAGAGCAUGCACAGAUGCAAGCAACAGGGAGAAGGCAAGACCUGAGGAACGCACUCCAAGCAGCAGCAAGAGUCACCCAGCCUCGGUGAGGCUCUGGGCUUUCAGCUGGGCUGAUGCUCCCCCUGUCCUUCUGUCAGCAGGGCAGGGCUGGGGGAACAUGCUGAACUAGGAGCACCGCAUCUGCUGCUGGGGACAGGAGCUCCCUUCUCCUCCCGUAGUGGUGCUGCUGCACAGGGGGUUGGGAAAGGAUGUGACCUUUUGCAGAACACAUCCGAGCUGGGGAGCUUUAUUAUUCCGUACCCACUACAGACUGAAGGCAGAUUAAGCUGUCCCAGAGUCAAAGCUGACCUCUGCAAUCUUCCUGAUCUUCCUGCCAAUGCUUUGUCAAGGCAGAGGUGGACUUAAUGAGGUGGUUGUCGUGGUCUGACAAAUGGCAGUGAAAUCGAAGGGUACAAAUCAUGUUUGAACACAUCUGUAUCAGCCAAACAAGGCCUCGUGGAUCUCCGAGGUGAGGUUGCUUCUCAGCGUGGUGUUCUCCAGAGAGCAAUAGUGGAGCGUGGAGCUGGCAGGGAGGCACUGGACAGCUUGAAAUGGGGACCAUAGGGGUUGUGACACAUGGAUCUGGAUCUGCAGAGGCACUGGUGAGAAAUGCACACUGCUUGAUGCCUGGCAGGACACACGGACCCAAGGGGGCCAUGGUCAUGCCCAUCCCUCAGCCGCUUCCUGAGGGUCUUUUCACACAAUCUUGAGUCAAGAAGACCCAACCUUUCCCAGCGGACCAUUUGCCAGCUGGUCUGGAAAGGCCAUCUCUCCCCACCACAGUGCCACCAUGUGCCCCUCCUGUCCGGGGCGAUGACAGCCCAUCUCAGCAGCCUCGCUGGGAACUGAACAUGCCCAUGUUUGCUCUUUGUUUUCGCACUUUGCAGGUUUGUUUUUGCUUCCAGGAGCUGUUUAUUAUGCCAGGAAAAACAAAAACAAAAAAAAAAAAGAAAAUCCCACAAAACAAACAAACGAGAAAGCAACGUGCAAACACGAGCCUGUCUGCUCGGGAUAUUUCCAUCUCCUUACU
ensembl:lncRNA